ACUGAAGACUACAAUUAUUUGAUAAAAAAUGCAUUAAAAACAGAGAUAUUGUAAAGUAUUUGUAUGUAUAAGUUUGUAUGUAAAUGAUGUCUGCUAUGAUCAGCUGCCAAGGUGUUGAAUAUUGAGUUGAUAUGUAAAUUUGGGUGGGUCAUAUGUUAAUGAGCCCAUUUGUGAUGUAAUGAUCAUGAUGAGGACAGUGGAAGAAAAUAAUUUCUGUGAAUAAUGAUUCAAAUUUUGAUCUUUUUCUCCAGAGCUACUGAAUGCUUUCAGAAAUGGACUACUUCUGUCACUUUUAUAGUAAUAUAGUUUGUGUGUGUGUGUGGCUAUUUUGGACCUUUUAGUUUCAAUAGCCUAUGUAGAAAGAGAGGCAGAAAAUUCAGUGUUCUGCCGUUUCACACAGCUUUGCUUUAGUGUGUUGGUAUGAAUUGGGGGAUAUGCAUCUGAGGGAUCCCCAGAGCCAAAUCCAAACAUCUGUCUGUUUCACCUCUGCAUCGCUUGAGUGAGUAUGUAAAUGAUCGCUCCAUGUUAUCACCUCUUUAACACACUGGUGAUCUGUCACAUCUGUUUAGACUUUAGGCUGUGAUGCACGACUGUAACAGACAGACAUUAUCAUCAUCAAUCAGAGAAAUUAUUUAGCAGUAUUAACAGCACUUGCAUUAUAGGUGCAUGAAUUAUCAACAAUUGAAUAAUCCUUUACAGGGCUAAAUACUCUCCUCUUUUACCCUCUCCUCCUCAGAAUGUGUUGGAAUGUGGAAUCUGAUCAAACUUGCUGUGAGUGUGGAAGAGACAGAAAGUUCAUACAUGAAAACAAAAGAAGAUAUCUGGACAAACAUUGAGGUCCAACAACAUUGGAUGUUCAUUUGUUAGGGUCAAACAAGUUAGGAACAACAUGAGGACAACAGAGAAAGCAAGGUCAAUAUGGCCCUAAGGAAAUGAAAUUCCCUAAAGAUAUGCAUAUGGCUCCGGCUGGUGCAAAUCAAUAUUUUCUAUGCGGCACACCGCCCUGAUCAAUCGUGCAUCAUGAAGGUUCAAUAAGAGUUUUCUUAAGCCUUGAGCACACGGCCUGCACUGUUUUCAUUGACGUCUGCUGUUCUGAUGUAUAUUUGACUGCUGGGUGUAACUUCUGUCCUGGAGAAGCAACAGUCGGAUUUUACUACAAGGAACUUUGACGAUGUUAGGGGAACACCCAUUGAUUGACAAACAUCUCGCACCCUCCUUAAAGGGGAGUCAUGCAUAUCUUCAUCUAGAAGAGAGUUCAGAUCUCUGAGUCAUCAAAACGGAGCGCCAGCAUUGUGAUUGAACUGAACAAAAACAGGAUUCUGGGCGUAUAUCCAAAGGGCGGGGAAAAUACAGAAGACAGGGAGAGCAAGUUCCUUUCAAACAAUAAUCUGCGCGGGAAAGAGAGGACAAGAGACAUGGGGGAUGGGUCUGUGAGUCUUUUAUCUCAAGUUUCCCACAUCCUGCCGCCUAGUUUAAAACCGGCCACCCAAUUUGAAAGAAUGCCUGGUAUGCACCUCAUUUCCAUAGUGCCCCGCAUUGUUCUCUAUUUAAAUAAAGACUGUUGCCCGCCAAUAGGAGAAACAAAAAACUUUGCGCGCUAAUUUGAGAAUAAUGAGGUAAUGCAGUGCAUGCUGUCUUCAUAUGCACUUUGUAGACCUACUUCACAUGGACAAAAAACAAAAAAGUUGUCCAUUGGGAUGAUGACGCAUUUUAUGUACAGAAAAGGAAAGCGUGGGUUGCAUUACACUGCAGAAUACUUUCUACAUGUUUUUUCUUCCUCUUGAAGAACUGAUUGAACUGAUUGUGUUCCUUGAAUGCAAUAUACAAGGAAAACUUUAAAGUUGCACAUUUGUGACCCUGGACCACAAAACCAGUCUUAAGUAGCACAGUUAUAUUUGUAGCAAUAGCCAACAAUAUAUUGUAUAGGUCAAAAUUAUUGAUUUUUCUUUUAUGCCAAAACUACGUUGGCCGAGAGACCUCA